AGUAAUUUAUGAAACCAGUCACUCGUCCAGCAUAUAUUUAUUGAGUGUUUAUUAUGUGCCGGAUGCUGGAGUGACAAAAAAAUGAACAAGAUGUAGAUCCAGCCUUCAAGUGUAGCUGGUGAUUUUCCACAAAACCCUCUAUUAUUGUAUCUUAACAUCCAGGAGUCAGCCAGGAGUUACACUGAUCAUAAAUCGAUAACCUCAUUUCAAAGCUCAAACACAGAGAUGGCAAAUAAAGCCCUGGGCAGCACUGACUGAAGCAACAGAUGACUCAUUAAUAGCAGGAGGCAAUGAAUAACUUUGCCACUGAGAGUGAAAGAAAAUUCCCCCUUUGCACAAUGCCUUUCACUUAAAUAGCAUUUGGAUUUCUUAAAAUCCACAAAGUUUAUAUUAGAGCAUCAUCCAUUAAUGCUUUGGCUAGGAGGGAAGAACCGACUGCCGAGGAAAUUCAAAACACAUCCAUGAAAGCAGAAAAUUAUAAUGUGACAAGUGAAGAAUUGAAAUGGAUUCACCCUAAAAGCAGAGCCAAAUAUCAGCCAUUGUCAUGGGCCCCUAGGAGGACUGAGUCUGGUGAUGCACGAAUACCAGAAUGCAAGUGUGGUGCAAUGACAGCAAUAACACAUGUGUGCACCUUGAAGCCAGAGGGAUGGAAACCCCAGCCAAUGCCUCUUUCUCUUUUUCAGCCAUGUUUGCUUUCCAUAUGCUGGAUGAUGUGUAUGGAUUUUCAGUGUGUGUUUCAGAGUCUUAAAAGCUCAUGCUAGCUUGCUUAACAUACCUCUAUAACUCAUGAUAUAGAACCCUAGGGAGAACUGUGUUGCAACAUGGAUGCAGUGCCUAUACUAAGGCACACUGCCAACCUGAAGACUGUCAGAGAGCAUCACUAACGGAGGUAAGCCAGUAGGGUCUAAAAAUCUUCACAGAGAGAAGGUAUGACCGGAUGAUAGUCCAUUAAAUUGCGUUGAGGUGCAGCACUAUGUUCUAAAUUGGUGUACCCCACGAAUUUAUAUGUUGAGGCCUAAUACCCAAUGUGAUAGUAUUAAGAGGUAUGGCCUUUAGGAAGUGAUUAAGUCAUAAGGUGAGGGCUUGACCCUUAUGAAUGAGAAUAGUGACCUUAUAAAAGAGGCUUGAGUGAGCUCCCUGGCCCUUUUUUGCCAUGUAAGGAUGCAGCAACAAGUCACCAUCUAUUAAGCCAAUUACCAGACACCAAAUCUACUGGUGCUUUGAUGUUGGACUUCCCAGCCUCCAGACCUCUAAGAAAUAAAUCUCUGUUGUUUAUAAAUUACCGAGUCUAAAGUACUUUGUUAUAGCAGCCUGAAUAGACUAAGACAUGCAGCAAGUGAAUAGAUCACUCACUGUAGCCUGGAUCUGUCCUUCAUUAUGACAGGGUUAUUUCUCGUACUGGACAUAGGUCACCUUUGCUAACCUCUUACAGAAAUUCUAAACUUUGUGACAGGAAAUGCAGAAGUGUGAGAGAAGAACAAGGAGCUAUGUGAAGAAGAGAGAUGGAAAUGGAUUGAGACUGUUGAAAUAGGAGAAAAUAUCUUGGUUUUGACAUCAUUUCCAAAGAAUCAUAGUUAUCAAAUAAAAAAUUUCACAAUUAUCCAAAAUUAUAAUAAGAAUUCAGUGGCUGGCAAAAUGGCUGAAUAGGAACAGCUCUGGUGUGCAGCUCCCAGUGAGAUGAACACAGAAGAUGGGUAAUUUCUGCAUUUCCAACUGAGGUACUUGGCUCAUCUCUUUGGGACUGGCUAGACAGUGGGUGAAGCCCAUGGAGGGCAAGCUGAAGCAGGGUGGGACAUUGCCUUACCUGGGAAGUGCAAGGGGUCAGGGAACUCCCUCCCCUAGCCAAGGGAAGCCAUGAAGGACUCUGACAUGAGGAAUGGUGCACUCCUGCCCAGAUACUACGCUUUUCCCAUGGUCUAUGCAACCCACAGACCAGGAGAUUCCCUCGGGUGCCUAUGCCACCAGGGCCCUGAGUUUCAAGCAUAAAACUGGGCGGCCAUCCCAAGCUAGCUGCAGGAGUUUCUUUUCAUACCCCAGUGGUACCAGGAACAUUUAAGUCUGCUGAAGCUGCGCCCACAGCUGCCCCUUCCCCCAAGUGAUCUGUCCCAG
ensembl:lincRNA